rnacentral:rRNA from 1 species
GAGGAGCCCAGAGCCUGAAUCAGUGUGUGUGUUAGUGGAAGCGUCUGGAAAGGCGCGCGAUACAGGGUGACAGCCCCGUACACAAAAAUGCACAUAUUGUGAGCUCGAUGAGUAGGGCGGGACACGUGGUAUCCUGUCUGAAUAUGGGGGGACCAUCCUCCAAGGCUAAAUACUCCUGACUGACCGAUAGUGAACCAGUACCGUGAGGGAAAGGCGAAAAGAACCCCGGCGAGGGGAGUGAAAAAGAACCUGAAACCGUGUACGUACAAGCAGUGGGAGCCUCUUAAUGGGGUGACUGCGUACCUUUUGUAUAAUGGGUCAGCGACUUAUAUUCUGUAGCAAGGUUAACCGAAUAGGGGAGCCGAAGGGAAACCGAGUCUUAACUGGGCGUUAAGUUGCAGGGUAUAGACCCGAAACCCGGUGAUCUAGCCAUGGGCAGGUUGAAGGUUGGGUAACACUAACUGGAGGACCGAACCGACUAAUGUUGAAAAAUUAGCGGAUGACUUGUGGCUGGGGGUGAAAGGCCAAUCAAACCGGGAGAUAGCUGGUUCUCCCCGAAAGCUAUUUAGGUAGCGCCUCGUGAAUUCAUCUCCGGGGGUAGAGCACUGUUUCGGCAAGGGGGUCAUCCCGACUUACCAACCCGAUGCAAACUGCGAAUACCGGAGAAUGUUAUCACGGGAGACACACGGCGGGUGCUAACGUCCGUCGUGAAGAGGGAAACAACCCAGACCGCCAGCUAAGGUCCCAAAGUCAUGGUUAAGUGGGAAACGAUGUGGGAAGGCCCAGACAGCCAGGAUGUUGGCUUAGAAGCAGCCAUCAUUUAAAGAAAGCGUAAUAGCUCACUGGUCGAGUCGGCCUGCGCGGAAGAUGUAACGGGGCUAAACCAUGCACCGAAGCUGCGGCAGCGACGCUUAUGCGUUGUUGGGUAGGGGAGCGUUCUGUAAGCCUGUGAAGGUGUGCUGUGAGGCAUGCUGGAGGUAUCAGAAGUGCGAAUGCUGACAUAAGUAACGAUAAAGCGGGUGAAAAGCCCGCUCGCCGGAAGACCAAGGGUUCCUGUCCAACGUUAAUCGGGGCAGGGUGAGUCGACCCCUAAGGCGAGGCCGAAAGGCGUAGUCGAUGGGAAACAGGUUAAUAUUCCUGUACUUGGUGUUACUGCGAAGGGGGGACGGAGAAGGCUAUGUUGGCCGGGCGACGGUUGUCCCGGUUUAAGCGUGUAGGCUGGUUUUCCAGGCAAAUCCGGAAAAUCAAGGCUGAGGCGUGAUGACGAGGCACUACGGUGCUGAAGCGACAAAUGCCCUGCUUCCAGGAAAAGCCUCUAAGCAUCAGGUAACAUCAAAUCGUACCCCAAACCGACACAGGUGGUCAGGUAGAGAAUACCAAGGCGCUUGAGAGAACUCGGGUGAAGGAACUAGGCAAAAUGGUGCCGUAACUUCGGGAGAAGGCACGCUGAUAUGUAGGUGAAGCGACUUGCUCGUGGAGCUGAAAUCAGUCGAAGAUACCAGCUGGCUGCAACUGUUUAUUAAAAACACAGCACUGUGCAAACACGAAAGUGGACGUAUACGGUGUGACGCCUGCCCGGUGCCGGAAGGUUAAUUGAUGGGGUUAGCGGUAACGCGAAGCUCUUGAUCGAAGCCCCGGUAAACGGCGGCCGUAACUAUAACGGUCCUAAGGUAGCGAAAUUCCUUGUCGGGUAAGUUCCGACCUG